rnacentral:rRNA from 1 species
AUGGGCGGGCCACCGCUGCCGCCGUUCCAGGCGGGGCACCCCAGCGGGCCGCCUCCGCCGCUGCUGCACCUGCCCUGGUCCUCGGUACCCGCGCAACCAGGAUUUGUUGGAGGUAGUGCUGAUCUUGCAACAUCAAAUACGAAAAGGAAGGGCACGUCUUCGGGGAUCAGAGACCGCCUGAGCGACCUCCCAGACGCCCUGCUGGGCCACGUCCUCUCCUUCCUCCCGAACAAGGAGGCCGGCCGCGCAGCGGGGCUGUCCCGGCGGUGGCGCGACGUCUUCUGCAACGUCCACGCCGUCUCCUUCGGGGAGCGCCCGGGCGCCAGGGCCACCGACUGGACCACCUUCUACCACGAGGCGGACGAGAAGAAGAGCUGCAGCGCGGCGCUCCUCGACGACGUCUGCUCCGCGCUCCUCUGCCGCCGCCGGACCGCCGGCCACCACGUGCCGCUGCGCAGCUUCCGCUUCGCCUUCGACCGGUGCCACCACUGGAACUUCGUCCACGUCGACCAGUGGCUCUCCUACGCGCUGCGGCACGGCGACCAGGAGCUCCACCUCGACCUGCGCUUCAAGAUCGCCCCGAUCUGCGAUGACAAGGCCGUGGACAGCGGCACCGACAACACCGACGACGAGGACGGGUCCUCCAAGCUGAGGAGGCGGUGGGUAUACGUGCUCCCAAGAAGGCUCUUCACCUGCAGGGUAAUACGGACGCUAUGCGUCGCCUAUUGCCGGCUGAUACUGCCGGCGGCCGUCAACCUGCCGCUCCUCGAGACCUUGAGCAUCACGGCUCCCCACAGCGAUGGUGGGAGGAGCAUCCAGCGGCUGAUCUCCAGCUGCCCCCGCCUCGUCGACCUGACGCUGGAAGCUGUCCACCGCCUGAAGCGAGUAUCCGUGCUCGACCAAUGCCUCCGCAGAUUCGCCCUUCGCUGCUGCCACAACCUGAAGUCUGUCGACAUCGACGCGUCGGAGCUGAGGUCGCUGGACUACUGCGGCACGGUGCCGGCCGGGCCGCUCCUGUCCUUGCACGGCUCGCCGCGAGUCCCUUCGUGCACCGUGGACUUCUGCAGAGUGCUCCCCGAGGAUGCAGGGUUUACGGGGUUUAGGGUGUUCAUGCAAAAAAUCAGUGAUGCCAAGCACCUCCACCUGCACCAUCGUAGACUGGAGAGCAGGUUCUUCUUAGGUUUCCCUCCAUUCUCUAGCCUGACGCGACUGGUGUUACAAGGGCCCCUCGAGCAUUGCGGCGCCGUCGUCUCGGUGGGUAGAAUCCUGGAGCAGACCCCGAACCUCGAGGUCCUGACGCUGUUCAUGGAAGAGCAAGCCGCGCACACGAAAAAUAGAGAUGAUACCAUGGGCGAGAUAGAGAGCUGGGUGGUGGCCGAUGCAGAAAAGGUUUUCCUGUGA